CGGGCUGUAGCGCAGUUUGGUAGCGCACCACACUGGGGGUGUGGGGGUCGCAGGUUCAAAUCCUGUCAGUCCGACAA
rnacentral:tRNA from 6 species